rnacentral:lncRNA from 1 species
AAAUUAUCCAACAAGGAUAAUAAAUGCUUAUGGGCAUGUGAAAGACCAUCACACUUUUUACAGUUUACUAUGCAUAUCAGUUAUACAGGAUUUUGGCCAGUUUGUGCUUAAAGCAAUUUGCUUUUAAAGAAAAGAAAAAGAGAGAGGGCAGAAAUCUGUGAUAGGCAAAGUUUUCCUUCUCUGAUAGGUUGAUUAUUCUGUGAAGUGCUGGGUAACUUACCACUCCUGCUGCCUUACAGCAGGACAAUGAGACAACUUGUUGUGGUUCUAUUUUAUAGUUGGGACAUUUCCGGUAGAGGCAGGCUUGGUACAAAAUGAAAGUAUAAUUGUACUGUUGUUCAAAAUGACGUUAUUUUUCACUCCUGAAGAAGAGCGUGUGCUCGUUAUCAAACCCUAAGAAAGACACAAUGGAGCUAGGAGUAAAGGCCCCUGGGAGCCCUGAUUUAAGCAGUAUCCUUUUCUGCUUCAUUAUCAAACAUUUUCAUUAUUUCACAGCUAUCAAAGGAGGCACAGAAUUUUGUUGGAUGGAUACUCAAGACGCUUGGCACAGAGCCUGCAUCUGGGUAAGGGGGUGGUGACCAGGAGACUGCAGUCAGGUUGAGAAACAGAAACUUGGUUUUCAUAAUGUAUUUUUUUAUAUUUGAAUUUUCCAAGGCCGUGUGCAUAUAGUACAUUUUCAACUUUUAUAAAGAGCUAUAAAUCAUUGCUCAAGCUGUCAGGAUAAAGUCCAGUUUAAAAACACAGACCAACUGUCAACAGGCUAAUAUGUAAUAAAACAUAAUGAAACUGUACAGAAGAAAAGCCGAGGAAGACGUAAUGGCGUGCUGAAAACAAUGUUGGAAUGGCAGUCAAGAGGGCCUCUACUUCUGUCUAGUUUGAUCAUCUUGACAGGUGCUGCUUCUGGAACUGUUCCUCUGCCUAAUAGUGCAAGUUCAGAAGAAAAUGAGGUGAUGUUUGCACAAAGGAACCUGGGCACCACCUUUUAUGGCCUGCAGAUGGAAAGAACUCUCGUGCUCAAAAUAAGAGUCACCAGGGACUUCAUGGUGGGCAAAAUCCAGGAAAUGCAGCAGUUCUUGGGGCUAAAUGUGACUGGCAAUUGGAUGCAUCUCCUCUGGCAAUGAUGUGCACACCUUGAUGUUCACCCGAUGUUCAUCAGUUCAGCACAAUGAUGGGGAAGUCAGUAUGGAUGAAAUGUCAUGUCGCCUACAUAAUCAAGAAUUAUACUCCUGAAAUGGUGUGGAAGGAUGUUGACUAUGCCAUCCCAAAGGCUUUUUAAAUAUGGAGUGAUGUGACCCCUGAAACUCAGAUAGAUUAACUCCAGUGAGGUUGAUAUUAUGAUAUAUUUCACACAAGGAGCUCACAGGGACGCUAUUCCUUGUGAUGGCAGAGGUGGAAUGAUUGCUUGUGCUUGUGGACCUGGAUCUGGUCUUGGAGGAGACUCACAUUUUGAUGAGGCUGAAAUCUGAUUAAAUACACCAAAGGCUUAAACUUGUUUCUUGUUGCUAUUUGUGAGUUUGGUCACUGCAAAGAUCCAAAGGCUAUUAUGAUCCCCCUCUACAGUUAUGAUGACCCCAAUCAAUUUCGCCUCUCUACUGAUGACAUCUGUGACAUCCAGUCUCUCUAUGGAGACUCAUGAAAACACCAACCUAUGUCGCAUUCUUAACAUGAUAGAACCAGCCACCUGUGGUCUCAAUUUGAGUGUUGAUGCUGUCACUACAAUUGCAGGAAAAAUCUUUUUCUUUAAAGAUGGGUUCUUUUGGUGGAAGCUUCCUGAACGAUCAAGCCACUUUGAAAUUGGAGCCAGGAGUCAAGUUUUUUUUUAAAGAUGACAAGUAGCGGUUAAUGAGUAAUCUAAAACCACAGCCAAACUAUCCCAAAGGCACACAUUUUCUGGCCUUCCCUGACUCUGUGAGAAGAUUGCUCCUGCUGUUUUUAAUGCAUGCUGCUACAAGACCUACCUCUUUGUGGAUAGACAUUACUGGAGGUGAGAAGAGAGAAGACAAUUCAUGGACCCUGGUUAUUCCAUAAUGACUACUGAUAAAUUUCCAGGAAUUAGACCUAAAAUUGGUGCAGUCUUCUACUCCAAAGGCUACAACAAUUUUUUCCAAGGAUGUAAUCAAC